AAAUUAGGUGCUUUAAUUUUUUUAUUUAUGUAAGUAUUUGUUUUCUCUAANCAUUUUAUUUAAUAAUGAGUGUUUUUUUAGUUGGGGCUAGUGCACAAAUGACAGAAAAUGUUUGAGUGAGAGAGAUGAAUGAGAAAGGGUUGAGAGGAAUGAAAGAGGUGAGUAAGGGUUUGGGGUUUCUUUUUUUAGUUUUGAGAAUAAAAAUUAUUAAAAUAAGGCAAGUGUUUAUGAUUUUUUUCAAUUGGGGCUACAGUAGGGAUGAGAGAGAAAAUGUUGGAGUGAAAGAGAUGAAAGAGAAAAGGUUGAGAGGAACGAGAGAGGUGGAUAAGGUUUUAGGGGUUUCUUUUUUUAUUUUUUUUAAUUUUGAGAAUGAAAAUUAUUAAAAUACCCUUAACCUUAAAACUUAGAAUUCGUGAUAUAAGGGUAUUUUUGUCUACUGAAACCCG
rnacentral:lncRNA from 1 species